UGCUUCUUUGAUCGAUACGUCU
rnacentral:miRNA from 1 species